rnacentral:tRNA from 2 species
GGCCCCUUCGUCUAGAGGCCUAGGACACCGGCUUUUCAUGCCGGCAACACGGGUUCGACUCCCGUAGGGGUCA